rnacentral:lncRNA from 1 species
GGAAAAUAAAAUCAAAAGACUCAACAAGAAAAGAAAAGGAUAUAACCUUUGAUUUUGGUACCUAAACUCUGAUGCCAACUGAUAUAAACCCGGUUAGCACGACCACUAAUGAAUGCACAACUAGAUUGACACGAAUUCCGAGAAAGUCAAGAAUCGUCGAUUAUGGAUUUAAUUCACAAACGAUGAAUUAAGCGACCGUUAAUAUGUAAAAUUAACGACCUCUUAAUUACACAAUUUAUAAAUCUCACCCGAAUUUGUUUUGAACGCAACAAGAUUAACAAAUCUCGAUAAGUUCGAUUUGUUCUUCAAAGAACAAGAAAAUUAGAAACAAAACAGGCCCUUGUAUUAAUCUCUCAAAUGUCAAAAGUUCCAUUACAAUGAAAAUAAAGUCAUGUUUAUAUGAAAACCCUAUGACCUAAUUAAAAAGGUAAAAAUAAGUUCAAAUAAUCCUAAAAAUAAUAAAACAUUAGAAUUCUACUCAAAAUAGGAAACUCGUGGAAAUUUGCAAUUUUGGUCUUCGAAGUAUACUAUGCAGUCGCAUAGAAGAAACCUACGUGGUCGCAUAGAUCAAAGUGUAGCUGCCAUUUAAUUGCCCUUGCCCGUUGCCCUAUAUGUGACCGCAUGUAUGGAACCACUAUGCGGUCACAUAGUGGCCAGUCUUGGCUCCAAAUUUGGCCUCGUGAAUCAAGUGCUUUUCAUCCAUUCCGGCCUUCAUCUCCAACACCAAUCUUGCUCUUUGGCAUGUCAUCUUCAACCUCGUGAACUCCAUAGCUUGGCCAUGCAAUUGGGUGACUUGUAUUGCCCAUCCGAGGUCUCAAAUAGGGCUUUGGCUUCUUCCAAUCAAUCACCAAGUUUUUGAUAAUUGGCGGUGCAACCCGGAUCAUAUCAGGAUUGCCUCUAGUGAGCGCUUAAUUUCAAGUUUAUAGCUAAACUUUAAAAUGGAGUUCAUCAUGGUGGUUCAAAGCGAACUUUACCGACAAAGCAUUGAACAUAAUGUUCAACAUUGUCAAUCUCUUUUUCAAUUCUCUAAGCUUGUAGAGCUCAUUUUCAUCUUUAAGGUUUCCAAUGAUUCUAAUAAUUCAUUUCCUAUGUUAGCAUUUUAUCGGGUAUUUUACUUCUUCCUCUUUAACUUUUUGGCUUCCCUCAUCAUGAGAUGGCUUUUCAAUAAUGGUAUAGACUUCAAAGUUCUUUUGCUCAUUAUCCACCAUCAAGGUCAGCUAGUCUACUUCAAAGUCCACGACAACCCAACUUGUAGAUAAGAUAGAUGUCCUAUGUCAGUAAUACAUCCCAUUAUUCUUUUAUGCCCAAACAAAAUCUGCUAGAAAUAUGAACUUACUCACUCUAAUGAGCACGUUCUCAAUCAUUCCUAAUGGUUGUUUAAUUGAUUGGUCUGCCAGUUAAAUGGAGAUUGUUUAGCUCUUCCAAACAUAAUUUUUUUAUAAACAAAAAGAGGCAUUGGAUUUAUACUUGCUCUAGAAUCACAUAAACAAUUAAAAUUAGAGUUGUUUCCUAUUAAGCAAAGUAUUUGAG